rnacentral:rRNA from 1 species
AUGGAUAUUAGAGCUAGCAAAUAUGCCCAUAAAUUGUUCAGUAUUCAACAGAAUGCUUUUAUUGAGGGGAGACACAUAGUGGAUGGGAUCCUAUCGCUACAUGAGGUUCUACAUUAUACCCACCUCAAAAAACAAGUGGGAGUGGCUCUUAAACUUGAUUUCGACAAAGCAUAUGACAAAGUCAAUUGGGACUUUUUGCUUGAUUGUCAUAGGAAGCGUGGAUUUAGCUCUAAUUGGUGUGGAUGGGUAUCUCAAAUCCUAAAAAAUGGCACGGUUAGUGUCAAGAUUAAUGACGAGGUGGGACCUUACAUUCAAAGUGCUAAGGGGGUGAGACAGGGGGAUCCUCACUCCCCUUUCCUGUUCAAUAUUGCUUAA